UACGGAGGGUGCGAGCGUUGUCCGGAAUCACUGGGCGUAAAGGGCGCGUAGGCGGCGCGAGCAGUCGGCGGUGAAAGCCCGGAGCUCAACUCCGGGUCGGCCGUCGAUACUCUCGUGCUUGAGCACUGUAGAGGCAGGUGGAAUUCCGGGUGUAGCGGUGGAAUGCGUAGAGAUCCGGAAGAACACCGGUGGCGAAGGCGGCCUGCUGGGCAGUAGCUGACGCUGAUGCGCGACAGCGUGGGGAGCAACAGGAUAGA
rnacentral:rRNA from 1 species